GGACCCGUAGCUCAGCUUGGAUAGAGCACUAGCCUUCUAAGCUAGGGGCCGAGGGUUCAAAUCCCUUCGGGUCCG
rnacentral:tRNA from 1 species